GGCCCCGUCGUCUAGCGGUUAGGACGUCAGGUUUUCAUCCUGAAUAUCGCGGGUUCGAGUCCCGCCGGGGUCACAA
rnacentral:tRNA from 9 species